rnacentral:lncRNA from 1 species
CACAGUAUCUUUAGAAAUUGACUAUUUAAUCAUUGAUGCGCACAAUCAUUUUCUGCUAUGUCUUCUGUUUAAAGUCAACAUGGCAUUGCAUGAAUAAUGCACUUAGGAGCAAUGUGUAAAAGUUUCUCAUUCUACCAUGGAUGCUUUGUUUGUAACAAACAUCCAACUUUCCCUUCCCUGUUAAACAACAUCUUUCAGUAGGCUGUGAACACAAAGGGUUGAUCAGUUAGAGAAGCCUUGGUCAGGGCUCUCAUAUAACACUACUCACAACACUAUCACCUCGACACGAUGGAGGCUGGACGCAAACAACAAUUUCUAAGGAAUACGACAUUUCGCACAGGAGCUUCCCACCAUGCAGCAGGAACCUGGGUUUCACUGUAGCUGCAUUGGUGUUGCACUCCAACACUCCAGCUUUGACUUCCUCUAAAGUGAUACACCCACCAUGUCCCUCAGUGGCUCAUUUACCAAAGACAAGCAUCCAUACAUGGAACUCCAAUCAUCCUCCAGAGGCAGAAAGACCAACUCGACUCAUCCACAAAACAAAAAUCACACAAAAGAGAUUUCUGCUUCAGAUAAUCGGGUAACAGCUGAUGUCUCAUCUGGUCCAUCCACAUCCAGUAAGGUCUCCAGGACACACAAUGAGCUUCACAAGGAACUGCUACUGACUCACAAGAAAGGUCUGGCUCUGAGCAGCAGGUCAGAACUUCAGCAGGUGCUGGAAAGGAGGAUAAGGGUGCAGAGUGAUCAACAUAAUGAGCAACAAAACAGGAC